AUUUUUUUUUGGUGAGUGAGAUUGUUGCUGGCCUUUGGGUAUGUGCACAUCCUCCUCCGAUUUCUAUUCAUCCACCUGUGCACUUUUUGUAGGAGUUCUUUCAUCGGGUUUUUGAAGGGUGCUCAUUAUGAGUUACUUGAAAAGACUAGUUGACAAGGCUUCUAUGUUCUUAUAAACCAUUGAAGUAUGUUAUAGAAUGAUCUUGUUAUUGGGACUUUAUUGACCCUUUAAACUUAAUACAACUUUCAGCAACGGAUCUCUUGGCUCUCCCAUCGAUGAAGAACGCAGCGAAAUGCGAUAAGUAAUGUGAAUUGCAGAAUUCAGUGAAUCAUCGAAUCUUUGAACGCACCUUGCGCCCUCUGGUAUUCCGGAGGGCAUGCCUGUUUGAGUGUCAUUAAAUUCUCAACUUUAUAAGUUUUUACUUAUCAAAGCUUGGAUGUUGGAGGCUUGCAGGCGUUUGUCAGCUCCUCUUAAAUUGAUUAGUGGGAACCCUGUUUUGUUAGUUCUAACCUUGGUGUGAUAAUUAUCUACAUUUUGGUGGAACCUUACAAUAAUAAAGCUCUAUUGGUUUGGGUUGUUGCAUUUAGUUUGCUCAAUCUGUUCUAUUCAUUGGAGCACAAGGGAAGUCCCGCUUUCUAACUGUCUUGAUUGACUAUAUAUAACUUAUUUGCUUGACCUCAAAUCAGGUAGGAUUACCCGCUGAAC
rnacentral:rRNA from 1 species